GGCAAGAUGGCCGAGCGGUCUAAGGCGCCACGUUAAGGAUUAAUCCUUAAUCUACAUUCUACUUCAAGAAUUCCGUGGUCCGAAAGGGCGUGGGUUCGAAUCCCACUCUUGUCA